rnacentral:lncRNA from 1 species
GUUCAGAAUAUGGCAUUUCAGUAUGGGAAGCACAUGGCCAUGAGUCAUAAGAUAAAUUCUGAUGUCCAGCCUUUUAUUAAAGAAAAGACCAGUGACUCCAUGACUUUUAAUCUAAACUCAGCUCCUGUAGUCUUACAUCAGGAAUUUCUUGGAAGAGAUUUGUGGAUUAAACAGAUCGGAGAGUCUUCAAGUACAGAAGUUCAACUUUCUAACUUUCAACAAAUGCUACUUUCAACACUCU